GGGUAGGGGGUGCAGCUUGGCUUCACCAGACACCUGCAGUUGAGGCUAAUUUUUACCCUCAGAAUCAAGACACAGAAAUUUGGCGGUUCCUAUGCGGCUGAGCUGGGCGGGCUGUGUCUGUGGGUUGUUUUGGGGGAGCCUUCUGUGAUUACCAAUUUGACCCCCAAGCAGGGUCUCUGACGAGCUUGGAAGACUUCCCAUUUGCAGUGGUCAUUAUUUUAUGUGCACAUUGCUGAUGACACUGACCUAAGUUCUGUUCUCUUCUUUGAUGUCCCCGCGUGAAAGUUGAAGAUGGGCAAACUGCAUGUGACAGGACUGUCUGCAACGCGUGACUAUGAGGAACAGUGGGUGAAUUCCUGUAGAAGGAGAAAAAGAGGCAUUUCUGCAGAAUCCCUUUCAAAGCCAUGAUCAGGGGAAAUCUGAUUUCUCCAUUUUUAAACGAGCUCUGUACAGUGAUGCUCACAGACCGCAGCAGUGGUAGGGAAGCAUUUCAGCUUGUCAGUGAUGAAAUGGGGCCUGAAUGCGCUACAGGUUCUGGGGCUUUAAAUCUCCUACUUGAGGUAAUGGCACUGAUAAGGGGCAAUAGAGUGUUACCAGGCUGUAGCACAACUCUGACCAGGCCUUUGGAAACCGGAGGUCCCAGGUGAUCCCAAAGUCCCAAUGGACUCAGUGGUGUAAGGAGCUUUUUUUGCCCUGAGGAAGAAAAGGGUGCACGGCUUCAUCCCAGCACAGGGAGGUUUUCCACCUAUUUGUUACGGUGUGUGUGAGCAGAAGAUACAUUUAUAGAGGCAGUCAGAAAUACUUUAGCGUUAUCCAGAGACAAAGGCAGUUAAUCCGAGAUGUCUUUCCCUGUGAACAGCAGCAAAAUAAAGGAUAGCUUUUUAUGACAGCUAUUUGAAAGACAGUUUUAUCAUAAGUUUUUAUGACAACAGUGUUCUGCUCCUCUCUUCUAUUAUGGAAAAUACACUGAAGCUGGGAAUUCAUUUCAGUAAGUUUGCCAUUAGUGAGGGAUCGGUAUUUCAGGAAAAAGGAGAAAAGAAUUCAAGAUCUUCCUAAAAAAUCACAUUCCAAAACGUCGGAUUGUAAUGCACUUUUCUGGCUUCGGGACCAAUGCGAAAUGAAAGGAAAGAAUCGAUAAUUUUAUUUACACAAUGAUAUUGAAAAACAAAAAACCGAAGAAGGUAAUUUAUGGCAUGGCAACCUUACUGGAAGCCAUUGUUAGUUCAGUCUUCUGAAAAUCAGAGCUGAAAAAAGCCAUUUCAGACCAUCUUCCCCAACAAAGUCGGGCAGGAUGAGCUGUAGCCUAAUGCAUUCUCCUUCUUCAACAGCAGUUGCCUGAGAGCUCCAUCUGAGCUCCAUCCAAUCUCCUGUGGUCAUUUACCUACUAUCUGCUAGCCUUUUUAUUUUAACAGGGAGUAGUCUGUCACCAAACUGGCACGUGCUGGCAAAGUUGAUUGAAACCAAGUGCCCUGCAGUGACUGUAUGACUAGCGAGUCAUAUAGCAAAGGGUUAGGCUGGAGUUGCAAUUGGAGAAGGAAAUUCAUUGAACUAAGGCUUGACUUUGGGAUUCUAAUUUCUUAGGUUAACCUAGUGUAAUUAGCAACAAAUUCACCUUUGAUUUAAACCUGCUGAUUCACACAUUGCAGGUUGGAUGGCAGUUAGGUGACUGACUUAGGUGGACAUGCCUUUGUUCUCAGAAACAUUAGAGGGGAAUCUCUCCUGAAUCUAGGACUUUUGUUUUGGAGACCAUACAGGCCCGACUGGUAAAUGUUGAUAUAGUCUUCCAAAACUACGCCUGUUGUUUUUAUUAGCACUCAAUGUCUCCUCUUUUCUUUCUCACUGUGUCAGGCCAGAACUGCAAGGGGCUGGAAUCCUUUUAGCAUUUUAACACUUCCUUGACAAACAUCCUGCUGUUCUAUCGCUGCCCUCCUGAAGUGUAAGAGCUCGUUUUUGAGGGGAGAAAAACAUCUCCAAACUCAAGGAACUAUUUGCACUUGUGUUGGGUGACAUCUGCUUUACUGCAAGCAUCACUGAAUGCAGAUCUACAGCCUUUUAACCCUAUUCUCUAGGGCAACAAUUUUGUGCUCUAGUUCUUCCAGGCUCUCAUUUGUCACCUUUUUUCAGGGAGUAUAAGAUGUAGCUUCUCUCUUAAGAAAAGCUUUGGUUGCUUACCCUACACGCAAAGAUAUGUGCAGAAAUCCCCACAGGGUAACAAAAACCUUCCCCAGGGAAAACAUCCUUGAACUAGUUUAACUGAAAGCUCCCAAUUUCACAGUGCCUUUGGCUGGAAAAUUUAAAUGUUCAAAGGGCUGUGGCAUGAUUAAAGAUUUUCUUGUCUCAGCCUCUGAUGCAAGAGUGCAGACUCUCCUCCUCCCCUCACUGCUUGCAUAGAUUGGGUUUAUAGGAGUGAUUGAAAACAGACUAGAGCGUUAGAGGAAGAAACAGAGACCUAUGGUGGAAAACAGAGAAAGAAGGGCUUCUUGGGGCUUUUCCAUUCUUUGCCCCUGCAGCUCUGUGCAGAUCAUUCAUCUGUGUCCCUUCCAGGCAGUGGACCCGAGAAGAUGGUCUUGAUUUUUGCACCAGUUAUAGUUCUGGUUUGGAACUGGGCUCUGACUCGAGGACAUCAAGCUCCUUUCGGAGAACUCUUGCUGGACACCUGGUCACUACUUCUCUCAGCUCUUCUCUCUGGGAGAAUUUUGCUCUAGGUUCAGUUCACUGCACUCACAGGUUUUUGCACCACCUGAGUCUGUUUUUUUUAAUUUAGUUUCUAUGAGGUUUCAUUCCAGUUGUUUAUAAUGACUGUCUUCUCCAGACCCUGCACUGCAGCAUUUCCAAGCUCAGUAUGAAAACAGUGUAGACUCGGUGAGACUGCAUUUCUGAUGUAUCAUCCUGCUGCAAAUCCCUGAUCUUUGCAGCUAACCCAAAAGCUGGGGAAGAGGGAGCAAUAUCCUCUCUUCCUGCAGCUAAAGAUCCUCAAACAAACACCACAACCAUUUUAACCGAGUUGAAUGCCUCCAGGGGAGAUAGUGAUGUUUUGUCACACACAGAAAUAGGGACAUGGCAAAGCUGAGGUACCAUUUCCAUUGCUUUAAUUGCUGAGUGGGCAGCUCAGGCCGGGUGUAUAGAAAUAUCUCCUACCUGCAGCUUCACUGACCUCAGGAUAUCCAACCCCGUCUUUCCCUGCUGCCUUCCAUCAUUGUUUUAGAAUGGUAAAAGCAGGUGAGGUCUGAGGGCUGGGCCCCUGAGAGCUGUAAGGCAGCAGGCACAUAUGCAGAGAAGUGUCUAGCUUAUCCCUCUUCUGCUUUUUGGUGGGUUAGGAAAGAGUUAAAUGACAACAGAGGGAGAGGCUGUGCUAUUGUUCAGGCAUCCCUGGGUCCAGGGUGGCUGAUCUCUAUUCCCGGAUCUGCCUCUGGCUUCCUGCAUGACCUUGGACCGGUCACUUACCUUUUCUUUUCCUUAGCUCCCAGAUUAUAACAUGGAAAUCAUUCUCUUCCUGUGGUGCCUCGUUCCCUGCGGGUUUCAGGGUGGCUGAGAUUCUCUGGUGGGCGAUGAUGGGAGGAAGAGAACACGUUUCCACUGGAGAAAUAUUUACACAGAGGGUGGCAAUUUUUGGACGUGUUCUUGUUCACUCAGAUACAGCGCGGGCUGUGCAUAUGGUGAUAUUUGGUUUUUUUAGUAGGCAAACCUGUGGUGAAAGUCAAAUUCCAUUUGUCGUUGAUGCAGCUGCCCGAGAGCAAUGCCAGCUGCAGUGAUCCUUUUCUUCACUAGAUGGUGCUUUUGAUCAAAGAUUUGAAUAACGGCAGUUCCUUUCUGCACAGAAUUUCCUAAUUUUUCUUCCCUAGUCUCCAUUCCUUCCCCUCUUCUUUCUGUGCUUCAACACUACGGGGGACACUCAGUAAUGCUGGAUAUUGAGCAAGGCUAAUCUGGUGGUAAUACAGGCUCCAAGCCACCCGCACCCACCAGCCAGCUUGUCUUCUGGGCUUUGGUUUUUGAAGUGUGUAUCAGUGCUGCUGGGCUGUGGCAGAGAAUUGAAUUCUUUCCGUGUUUUCUAUUCCCAUAAGGAAAAGGCUUCAAAGAGCAGGUCCCCUCCCCCUCUCUGCUGGUGAAGGGCAUUUAGGGAAGCUGGGAAAAAAAAUCCAGCUCUGACAGAUGCAUUUAUUUAACAAACCACUGCCUUUCCCUACCUUAGCAGAAGAUUGGUUGGUUUUUUUUUUUUUAAAAAGGGAAUUGCUGCUUUUAUAUCCGUCUUUGUAUUCAGGAGAUGGUUACCUAGCCAAGGUCAUUGCUGCUGCAUGCCAGUAUCAAGCAGAGAGCCAGCCUCCUCUUCCUUGAACGAGCACUGAUCUCGGUAAGACUUCCCCAGGUAAAGAACGGGAACAGGCUUGAAUCUGCCAAUGCAAGGUCCCAAGCCGCUGCUGGGUAGAAAAAGCCACAAGAACAGCCUUCCUUUUUAUAAAGGCAGCAGAGGAGAUGAAUGAAAUUGUAAUCAAACAUUUCCUGUGCAGUCACGCACAGGGAUCGGGUUAUGAGCUCGUACAGUGUGAGGCACAGCAGGGUGUGUGGUGGUGUGCUGUCAUCAUCCGUGACAGCGUGUGCAGGGCAAAUGGGGCUGCCUGCCCCCAGCACCCCAACCUGGCACACACACAGACGAUAACCGUCCUGUGCUGGGCCCCUUCCGAGUCUGACCCGAGGCUCUCGCCCCUCUGGCACUCGUCGGCAGCGAUGGUGCUUGUUCACAUUCGUGCGCUCGCAGGGCUACCUGCAGCCCGCUGUGCCCGUGCCUUCGUGCCAGGCUGCCUCGCACGCUGCAAACGUGCAUCCGGACACUCCCAUCGGGGAGGCUGCGAGGUUACAUCACGUACAGCUCCCUCCCCAUGGAAUUUUACAAACGUUAAUGAAUGGGGCUGGAUUGCUGCUAUGACGCCAAUCAGCCAUGCACAGAUUUAUAGUCUGAGGCCAAGAGAGAUUAUGCUUCUGCCUCUGGCACUGCACCAGUGGCAGCAAUUUCAUGUGUGUGUUGACAAGCCCGCAAGGCCGGUGCCCACAGCAGCCCUGUCCUCACGUGCUGGAUGUUACGCUUAUGGCAGUGACGUCCCCACAGCAGGGACACGAGCUAUGCUAAACUGCAGUGUGACACAAAACUCCUCUCGGGACUGGGAGCUGACAGUGAUUUCUUUGUCAUUCCCCUGUUGUCAUCUUCCCACUGCACAUAUAUUUGUUCAUCAUCAGUAAGAUAUUGCUGAUGACUAAACCCUGGGUCUGCAUCACAGAGAAACUGUUUGAAGGAGCAGCCCAGAACUGCAGGGUUCAAACUCGUAGAAGAUUGAGAAGUGGGGACAGUGCAUUUCCUCACAUCUAUUAGAUCUGGAGAGCAAGCCACUCUCCCAGUCCCUCCUGGCUGAGAGAGAAUUGCAUCACUAGUGCAUGCAGAUUUUUUUUUUCCUGAAUUGUGUUUGUUUUAUUGUUUUCCUCCGAUGGAAUUUGCCAGCAUGUCCCAAAUUAUGUGGUUCUGAAAUUUAAAAGCAACAUACCUGUGUGGGGGAGAGAAUGAGUGGUUUUCACUUUGCAAUCUGGCUCUUCCCUCCCUCCUCCCUUUUCCCCACAUCCCAUGUGUUAUGGAGCCAGCUGCUCCCGGAAUAGUUUGGGAAUGAAAUGUCACCGUUUGAAACUGGUGAGUCACACUUUUUGAAAGGGGGGGGGGGGAACGGGGGGGGGAGAAUAUGAAAUCUUGCGGUGUGGCAGAGCGUCUCCUGGUGAGUACAGAGAGAUUUUUAAAACCACGGACUCCCUGUUGAUGGAAUCGAGGGGCUUUGAAUAAAGGCUGCUGGGCGUGUCCAUGUCGCUUUUUGCAGGAGGAUCUCAAAACCCUCUGCAAACUUUAAUUGUCUUCCUUAACAUGCCCACUGCAGCUGGAUCCUAGUGCCUCCUCCAGCAGGACUAGGUUGUAUCUGUCUGACAACACACCUACAAUGACUCUCUUAAUUAAGUCUCCCCGCACUGCUGUGAGGUAUGUAAUUACAGUGAGACCUGACUUAAGCAACCACUCGAGGGACUAACAAAAAAAAAAUUCUUUACCAGAGCAGGGAGGAACAGAAUUCUACUGAAUACAUUUUGGGGGAAGUUUGUUAACCAAAGGGGGUUAAUUAUUCUGGUUUCUUCUCAGUGUAUCCCAAUAUUAGGAUGAUGCCUUUAAUAUACUGUGUGUUAACAUAAUCAGGGGUUUUUUCUUUUUAAAAGGAUACUUGAGAUCUUUUGUCUUUUAACAGAGAUUGCUAUAAAAAAAGUGUCAAUUAGUGCAAAUGGUGGCAAUGGUCUUGCGAAAUGAACUAUUGUUUAUCAGAAGCUGAGUAGUUGUCCCUCCCUGCCCAACCCAGGUCCAGUGGUAAAAAUAUUUAGUCAAAGGGCAACAUUCUGGAUUCCUGCUCCAGGGUAUUAUAACCACCCAUUUUCAUGACUCUACAUAGCAGCUCUGCCUAGUAGGUACUAGGAAUCAUGUAUCUUGAACUAAAGUACCACAGUAGUUGCGAUACUAAUGGUAUCUCCCAGAGAGCUCUGGCAGUUCCAGGCGGACUGAUUUUCGAUGUCGCUGCCCCAGCCUGCUGUCAGAGGUCUCUAUCCAGUACUCGAGGUGGCAGGCCGGACUGUGCGUCACCAUUCUCAGCCCAGUGUAUUGAUAUAAACUGCCAGCUAUUUCAGGUUGCAUUACUACUCCAAGCGCUGAACUGUAGUGGCCAUGGAGAAGAUAUGCCACCCAUUUUGCAGCCUCUGCUUCAACAGUAAUGCUCUCCAGCUGAAGGACAGGAAGAAGCUGGAAAUAGUAAUAUCAUAAAUAGUCCCACUAUGGGCUGGCAGCCCUCCUCUCGAGUCCCACCUUCAGUGGCAUUCCAAAUACAUGCUGUGAGUAAAACUCCCAAAUUGCAAGCCAAGCUAUGCAGCUAACUUGGUGGGGAUUUUGCAAGCACAAGCCCUAGGGGGGGUUGAUGCCAUCUCUGUCUAUUAUAUUUGGAAGACUGAGCUAGUAGCAAGAUUUUAUGAAGUGUGCUUUUAUAUCUCAAAUUUUAGACAGUGUUUACUAGAAACCCACAUAUUCUGUCGUCACAGGAUUUGACAAAAAUAAUCUCUGGCUGCAGAAAUUUGCUGCAGAGUCUAAGAUUUUGUUGUUUAAGACAAAAUAAAACAAACCCUGUACUUCACGGCCUCAGAGACAACCUUGAGAAGUCAAAUCUGGGUGCCAUUCCACAUGCCUUUUCCUCAGCAGCAAAGCCUGCCUAUCUGCCUCACUCUUUUCUCUUUUUUUUUUUUUUUCCCUUUUUUCUUUAACUCAGACUAUUUCAGUGAUUUGGCUUACACUGCAGGUCUGCAAAGAGUUGAACCAGCAACACUGCAGGAGCUGUAAGUUGCAGCAGCAACACAGGACUGAGCCAAGGAACCAGGGUGUGACAGAUGUUACGUGCUUGAGGGCAUAUUGACAGUACUGCAGUUAGAAGAAUUUCAGUGUAAGAAGCUAUUUAGACCCAAAUCCACAUCCAGAACUGCAGGUCCACUGAUCUGGAUGUACUAAUGGGUGGGAGAGAAUGACACAUACUGAAGGGCUUUUUGAUGGUUGAAGAAUCUAAGGAAAUCCACACUCUAGGCCCUUCCAUCUCCAUUUCCAUCUUUCCAGCUUGUCUGAGAAGUUGCAUGACUUUGCAUUUGUUGAAUAGCUGUAGUUACAUCUCAAAAGCCCUGGUUUCCUAGUUAUUUUCUGUUCGCCAUUCGAUGUACCACAAAGAGAGGUUCAGUGUGGGCUUUUGCUUCUGCCUGUGUGAAAAAAUUGAAUCCAGGGGAAGGCAGCAAAAUAGUGAUGCAGAGCAGAGAAGGGAACAGUCCUAAUAGUGUUGAGUUGUUCAUGUAAUAUGGCAUAGGUUUAAAUCUCGCAGGGCAGAGCAAACCAGCCUUUGCAAUUGUUUCUGACAUUUUCUCAGUCCCUUCUCCUCCAUCCACUUAGGAAAACUGAAAUCACCAGUCCUGUGCCUAGAUAUAAAAGAAAGAAGUUUGUUUUGAAGAGUUUAUAUGCCUGUACCUGCCAAUAUGAGGCAGGAAAAAGAUUGACUUUUUGCAAGCAGUCUCCUAUCAACUCAUAAGCCAAAUGAACAGGGAGGACAAGUACGCUCAGUACCACUGUAGUCUUUCAACUGUGAAAGACAUUGCACUACAGCUCUUUGCCAUUCUCUACUGCUCUAGCUAUGGAACCUGGGCAGAAGCUGCUGCAUGGCCACCUAAGGUUUAGCCUUCUGUGUGUGUUACAUUUCUGUUACCCUGUUUCAGAAACUGCCUUUGCCGGGUCUGUGAUUAAAGCAAACUAUCCAUCCCUGAUGAUCUCCCUCAGCUUUAGCCCUCUUUUGGGUUAUACGGCAUCUUCACAAACCCACAUAAAACUCAGCAGACACACAAAUAAAACCAGCCCUCCCUCUGCAUAAAACCACGAAGUAUUGCUAGGGUUUUCCCCACUGCCUUCCACUUUAACCCUCCAGCAUUGCUCUCCUUGUAUUCUUGUUCUCCCAGGAGUCCACAUUGCUCUGUGUUUAGUGGCAGGCGAUGAAAUCAAACCGUGCAUUAGCAGCUCCAUAAUAGCUUUCUCAGUGGAACCCAGCUUCCUUCAUUAAUCCAGAAAAUGAGAGUUGUUUUCGUACAUUUGAGAAGCUAAUUAUUUAAGUGCUGGGAAUUAAGGCUCAUCAGAUACUGGAGACUGAUUUUGGUUUUGCUUCCCAGGGGAUGGAACGAAAUGGAGUAAGCUGGUUUUGCACAGGUGUGCAGUAUGGUAACUCACCAGUACUUGGAGCAGGGAACAACAGUGUGCAGAUCCUUGUCUACCUUAAGCAUAAAAGCCCCUCUCUUUGUACAUCUUCUUCCAGAUAUCAUCUGAUGAUUCUUCCCAUUCAAAUAGAUUUAUUAAGUCAUCACUGAUCAAAUAAAUCUAUAGCUUUAUUUUCUUCUGCCAUGGAAAGAUGUACCCCACUUGUGGUUGACCUAGCCUGAAUAUUUUGCAAUAAACCAAAAAUGCCUUGUCUCAGCUGGGUUUUUAGAGAGGGAAACCAGCUCACAUGAGUUGUCCUUCUAUAAUCAGCUAUCCUUCAGCCUUACCUUUGAUCACCAUAGUCAGAGAGGUGUUUAGAUAGAACAGCUGCUACCUAACCUAACAAGGGACCUUCCAGUGGCUUGGGAAACAGAAGAUGAAUUGGGUGAAAACCCCCCUCAUCGGUGGGAAACCACAGAUGAGGACAGAUCUGUUGUUCUAAACAAAGUUUUUACAACAGAAUGAAUUUCAACAGUAGAUGGGUGCUUUUGACAUUCUUCCCAGAAAAUGACAGAGAAUCUGUUGAUGCUAUUGCCAAUAACUAUAUGCUAAAGAAUGGGGAUUUGGUUCUGAUGGUGUCACUGGACAGAUCCAGUCUUCAUUACAAGCAGCUUGCCAAGAACAAAUUUUUCAUUUUUAUUGUGAUAGCCAAUGCCCUGUGUUGUCUUCAGAGACUAAGGGAGUGAACUUUUCUGUGUGUUCAGUUGAAGCCAGAUGUUAAAGUAUUGUCUGGAUGUAAUUGACUUGACAAAUACCAGGAGUGACAUUUUAGCUCCAUUUGAAUCAGUGGCAAAACUCCUGUUGAGUUCAGCUGGGGCCAAGAUUUCAGCCUAUGACAGUGCUGAUGGGAAAUCUAACAAAUAAAUAAUCUUCAGAAAAAUAAGUGUAGUCAUUCUGUUUUUCUAGGACUCUUUUCAACCUAUGGGACAUGAAUCCUUGGAAUUCUGUGCACUACUUUGAAGAAGUCUGCAAAAGAUCACAAAGACAAGGAAGCUUAUUGUCAGUAGAUUUAAAUGAGCUGUACAGGGGUCCACAAUUCCAAGGGUAAACUUCAGGAGUUGAUUACAAAGUUCUAAGUCAGCUCGAUCCAUUGAAAUCCACCUAUCUUUGCACUCCUUGGACUAACAAGCAUCCUUCUGGCAGGAAGGUUCUGUGCAGCUGAACUAACCCUUUGACAUUGAGUAUUGUGGAUUCAAGAAGCUGCUCUGUCCCCUAUACUAGGACUGAGCCAUGUGGAAACCUCUGAUCUGGCACCUGUCAGGUGCUCUUACCAAUGGAUUGGGCUGAAAACAAAAACUUUUAGAGAAGCUGGUGUAGCUGGCAUUAUACAACGAAUUCAGUUUUGUAGCAAGGUCAGUACUUUGUCCCCGAGAUAAAUGAGCAGGUAUACAGUGUUCUCCCUACAGACUGUGAGGUGUCUGAAGUAUUUCAGAUGAACUUUAUUGGGAACUAAAGGCAAUCAGCUUCAGGCAGAAUCGUGCAACAGAUUCUACCUAUAUCUCCAGAGCUUUAAGCCCAGCAGUCAGACAUACAACCUGAUGUGCUUUAAAGGCUUUGGAUUAAGUAAUGGUAGUACUACUGGGAUGAAAGUUCAUAAUGCUUAGAUGAAAAAAGGCUUGCGCUAGGAAAUAAAAAUCACUGAAGAUUUAAAAAUAGAGUAAUUUUAAAAUUUUAAAAGUGUUCUGUUUAGGAUUUCAAAAAUUUUUCUGUGUGGGUUUUGGUAAGCAGAGUUGUUUUGUAAGUUCUUUCCUGUUAGAUUGUGGGAGAAUUUGUCUUUUUUAGGGUGCCUGAAAAGCAGGAGAGGUACUGAGGAAUCUUCAUGUGGCUCCUGAAUAGCCCCCUUCAAAUCCACUUUUGGAGCCAGGGUCUUCAGCCUCUUGUAAGAUCAAACUUAAGACAGCUUCACUUGUAGUCCAAGUUUAUAUGAGGAAUCCUAGCUAAAUCCUUGAUGUUGCUUAUACAUCUGAUCGAAGGGAAAGGUUCGUGUUUACCUGAGAACUCUAUUGGACAUUUUAACACGUAUUAUGUGGAAAAGCAUGCCAAAGUGGUAAAGUAACAAUUGAUUCAUGGCUAUCUAGCGGAGUCUAGAAGUGCCACCUUGGGAUGACAUGGAUUGAAGAUACAGUUACUUUGCUUUUCCAUGUGAAGAAUGCUGCUUCUUCCCAGCUGAGCUAUUGUGUAACAUAGAUGACUCUCUGGAGGAAGAGUUUGCUGCACAUUUGCACUAUGUUUUAGCUACUAUCAACAUUUAUAUUCCAUUGGCAUUUGAGGGUAAGCACUAAUUAGCAUAAUAAUCAAUGCUUUAAAAUUAAAAAUUCCUCCAAGAGACACAGGAGGGAUUGAAACUGUUUCCUUCCCCCAGAGGCAAAUCCUUUCCCAAGCUAUCUGCUGCACCAAAAGGUUUUAUUCUAGAAACAUUCCCAAGCUAUGCCCAAGAGUAAAUUAAACUACAGCAAACUUGUAAACUCUCGAGUGUGUGUGUGUGUGUAGCAAGCAGGCCCUGAUUUGACAAUUACUACAUGACAAAAUGUUGUCACUAUUUUCCACUCCUAUUUUGUUUUGACUGCUUCUCUGUGCCGCUGUGUCACCUUUACUGUGUGGGCUGGAACAAUCAAGAAGUGUUUGUGGAGUCUGAAGUUUUUACACUACACAGGAAAGAUUCUGGUGUCUUCACAAGCUAGAAAGCAAAGGGUUUAAUGACAUUGCCCUCUUCUAGAGCUUGCCUCAAGCUCCCCAAGUCAGGAGCUGGCCUAAAAAAAUCUCAAGAGCCAUUCUUUUCUACACUAUUUUAGAGUGGAUUUUUACUCUGGUUCCAGAAUGAUUCGUUGACAACAAAAACCUCAGACUAGAUUUCCGGCUUAAAGAGACUCCUCUUUAUGGAGAAUAAGGUGCCAGCAAAACCUUGGGGGAACUUCAAGUUCGAAAGGUAACGUCCAUACCUUGGAAAUGUCCCCUAAGAGUCGAUCUUUAAAUUUCUACAUUCCUGCCUUUGGGAGGUGACAAUGGGCCUCGGCUCCCAUUAAUAGCAGGUGUGGUCAAAGACGGGUGUCCUAGGCGUGGGUUUGUUGUGUCUCAAAGAAUCCUCACAUCCUCAGCAGGUCUUCAAGUGGUGGGCCAUGAAACCUCAGGGAGCAGGAAUAGUUAAAUGUUGUAAUUGUUCUUGAACUGGCCAGAGAGAAAAAUUAGUGGUUUUCCAAAGGAAAUAUUUCUUUCAGAGGGAAACACUAACAAAUGCAGGUGUUUCUUAAAAGAAAACAAUUAUGUUUACAAACUCACAAUUCUUGUUAUUUCUGCAUAAGACAAACACCACCAAACCCUACACUGAGUAAAGAUGGGGACUCUGCAAGAAAGAGUGGCACAGAAAUCUCCAUGAAAAUUUCAGAAUCUGCAGGACAUUGAACAUAUGUAUUGUUUUCUUGGUAUCCUAUUUUUUCAGAGAGAUGGACUUAAACUUCAUUGGCAGAAAUUCUAUCUUUUAUCUUUAUCUCCUGUUUUGAUGUGGUAGCCAUGGAGAAAAGCCCAAGAUUAGUAACAGUAGGUUGUUGCAGAAUAAGAAUAACUCUCUACUUGGAUUUAGACUGUAGUAAUACCCAGGGUUUUGUUUAACUGGAAGUACUCAGAUUGCAUAGAAUAAAUACUAGGUGCUGUUAGGACAUUAAUCACCCAUCCCAUUCACUUCUAUCCACCUUGAACUAAACACCGGUAAUCUUCUGUCUUUUCUGAGGGAUGUUUAGGUGGCUUCCACAGGGUAGGGGUAGUGGGCUCUCUGUGCCUACUACUUUUGGAAACAAUGGUUAGUUCUCUUGAAGGUCAAUGUGUUUAUGCUUUUGCCCUGCUACAGACAUCAGGGCACCUGGACCCUUGGAAUUUGGUUCCGUUUGGCUAAUAAUGAAUGAAAUGGGCCAUAUUCUGAAGCUGAGAUGCCUCAGGCUCCACAAGAAAGCCAAAUUAAAAAAUACUACUUUAACGGCAGUGUCUAGCAAUGAGUUUCGAGAUUCCCUCUGGAAGCCCACAGUGAGAAACUUCAGAGAAAGGAAGGGGGUGGUGAAUCUUUUCUCCGAGAACCUAAGAAGAGACAGAAUGCCUUUGCCAGUGGCAUGGGCUAAGAAAGCAGGACAAUGGUAGGAACAAAGACACCACACCUUGCUCUUGUUUGCUACUGGCAAAGCAGGCUAUGGGUGGGAUUAGUAAAUGUUUGACCAUAAAGUUUUAGUUUCCCUAAUUCAGCUGAUAUCCAUGCUGUCUGGUACGUUACUUGAUUUGCCUCUCCUCAGCAUCUCAGCACGUAGCUUCAAGCACGUUUUGCAACUUUUCUUUAGAAAACUGUUUUGCAUUUUACAGCAACAUACAAACCAGAGCUCUUGCAGCAUAUUUAGGAAGAAAGGAAUUUACACUGCUUUUGCUGGGAUGACAUUCUAGGAUGACAGAGACACAUAGUGACACAUAGACAUAAUACCACAUAUUGUUAAGUUCUACCAGUCAAUGUGCUUCUACAACGUAAAUCUUGUUUCCAAAUGAUCACAGCUAAUGUCCUGUUUUGAUUCAUGGUGAUGGAAACUAGGUGCAGAUGACUGGCUAAUUUUAAGACUACAGAGAAAAGGCAGAUUGUUGGAGACCAGGAUCUGCUUGAAGACUGGCUUCUGAAUUAAAACUAAUUGGUAGCUUCCUUUGAUGGCCCUUUUGCAUCUGGAUGAGAAAGAUCCAAGAGAACUCAUUUUUCUUACUUAUUUCCCUCCUUCAUUUUAGCAGGUGAUGUCAGGAUGCCAUCAUGACUUCUGUACUUUUUUUUUUGAGAAGAUAAAAUAGUUGUUUGAUUAGUAAAUGUAAAAGAUCUGUAUUUUCUGCUGGUUUUUCAUUGCUAAAGAUCUGGUAGAUCUUAAGAUCAAGGUUAUUAAAAACAGCUUAUGACAUUUCUUAGGUCAGACACUCUUUUGAAUAUGUCUACUGUAGGUUUGGUGUUAGAAUGAUAUUAAAAAGCAUGUCUGAUCAUGGCAUGUAAGAAUU